GCGGCUGUAGCUCAGUGGUAGAGCGCAACCUUGCCAAGGUUGAUGUCGACGGUUCAAAUCCGUUCAGCCGCUCCA
rnacentral:tRNA from 2 species